rnacentral:rRNA from 1 species
AUUGAACGCUGGCGGCAUGCCUUACACAUGCAAGUCGAACGGUAACGCGGGGCAACCUGGCGACGAGUGGCGAACGGGUGAGUAAUACAUCGGAACGUGCCCAGUAGUGGGGGAUAGCCCGGCGAAAGCCGGAUUAAUACCGCAUACGACCUACGGGUGAAAGCGGGGGACCGCAAGGCCUCGCGCUAUUGGAGCGGCCGAUGUCAGAUUAGGUAGUUGGUGGGGUAAAGGCCUACCAGGCCUACGAUCUGUAGCUGGUCUGAGAGGACGACCAGCCACACUGGGACUGAGACACGGCCCAGACUCCUACGGGAGGCAGCAGUGGGGAAUUUUGGACAAUGGGCGCAAGCCUGAUCCAGCCAUGCCGCGUGCGGGAAGAAGGCCUUCGGGUUGUAAACCGCUUUUGUCGGGGAAGAAAUACUCCGGGCUAAUACCUGGGGGGACUGACGGUACCCGAAGAAUAAGCACCGGCUAACUACGUGCCAGCAGCCGCGGUAAUACGUAGGGUGCAAGCGUUAAUCGGAAUUACUGGGCGU